AAGGCUUUGAUCAGUCAGGGCAAAGCACAACACUGAAGAAUUGCUCAGAAAUGGCAUGAAAGAGGAAAGCAGACUGCUGCCCCUUGCCCAACACAGCAAUAGGGAGUGGGAGGAGGCUGCUAAAACUUCACAGGAGACUGCUCAAAGAUCUCCAGUCUUUGAAAACUGCCAUGGAAAAGCAGAAGGGUUUAAGCAGCUCACAUGGAUUACAGCACUGAAUGGAGCUUGCCAGGAAUUAUGAGAGAAGAGCUGGGGGGUGUAGCAGAAAUGCUGAGUCACAGCCUGAAAAAGUGAUUGAGCACCUGAUGGAAAGGCAGGGCCAAUCCAGGGAAGCUCAGGUGCAUGCAAUGAACCUGAGUGACCAGAAGAGGUAGAGCCAGGAUCCACCCCUUCUCAGACCUCAUUUAAAGGUUGAGAGUGGAGGGAAGGGUAUCUUGUUGGAGGUUACUGCCUACUGGAGGUCUUAUAAAGGACUGUAAAGAGAGAGAAGACUGCUGUAAGAGGACAGGAUGAGAUGUCUGCAGUGAUAUGCUAGGAAAAGUCUGGACACCACAGGAAGUCCAGAAACCCAAGCUAGGGGAAGUUUCCAGCAAUUGACAAGGUUCUGAAGGCUUGCUGGGGCAAGGAGCCAAGCACACCAGGCUUGUGGCACUCUGCUAAGCCUGAUUUGUGGCUGCUGCCAGUCCUGCUGUACUUACUGCUAUUCUACAGACUCAUCAUGUUUCCAGCUUCCCCCUCCUAUCCAGCCCCUCAGAUUUUAUCAUCUGAUAAAAAGUAAACAUGAAAACCAGAAGCACCAAAGUAGCAACUAAAAGCUCUCCGGAUGGAGAAAUGCUGAACAAAACAACAGUGAACCCACUGCAAAUCUCAAAUAGGUCCUAAACUUCUUACUUUUAAGCUUAGUUGAUUGAUCUCAUAGUGAAGAAUUUAUGAAUCUAAUUGUACCAGUAUCUUGAUACAUGUUCACAGCCUUAUGUUUACACUAAGUUCAUUGCACCACUGCAUUUGGCUGUGCAAAGCCAUCCACCAAACACAGGUUCCAUAGGAGGUGCAAUAUAUAUAUAUAU